UGCACAUACAUAGCAUGUCCUUGAAAACC
rnacentral:sRNA from 1 species